UACGUAGGGAGCAAGCGUUGUCCGGAAUCAUUGGGCGUAAAGCGCGCGUAGGUGGCCAUGUAAGUCCGCUGUGAAAGUCAAAGGCUCGACCUUUGAAAGCCGGUGGAUACUGCAUGGCUAGAGUACGGAAGAGGCGAGUGGAAUUCCUGGUGUAGCGGUGGAAUGCGCAGAUAUCAGGAGGAACACCAAUAGCGAAGGCAGCUCGCUGGGACGUUACUGACACUGAGGCGCGAAAGCGUGGGGAGCGAACAGG
rnacentral:rRNA from 1 species